GGAGGGUAUAGCUCAGUGGUAGAGUGUGUGCUUGGCAUGCACAAGGUCCUGGGUUCAAGCCCCAGUACCUCCA
rnacentral:tRNA from 1 species